GUUGAUGGCCAUACCAUGCUGAAAGUACCUGUUCUCGUCCGAUCACUGAAGUCAAGCAGCAUCGUGCGCGGUCAGUACUUGGGAGGGUGACCUUACUGACAGGAAUUAAAGCCGAAAUCU
rnacentral:rRNA from 1 species